CUCGCCCGCGGACGUGCGCGCGCUCCAGAGGGCAUUUAUUGGGCGCCCGCUGUGUGCGCUGGACCAGCUCCCGGGAGGGCGAGCGAGAUCGAAGGCUGACGCGGUGCGAUGGCGGCCCCGUCUGAAGGCGACGCUGCCUCUCUGCUGCCGGACCUGCCCGGGGGACCCCUGCAGGCCUACCGCGCCCGCGCCUCUUUCUGCUGGAAGGAGCUGGCCCUGUUCCUGGAAGGCGAGGACAUGCUGCGCCUGAAGAAGAGCAUCUUCUCGGCCCUGGAGGACGACCCCCUGUUCGCCCGCUCCCGCGGCCACGAGCUCUCGCUGGAGAAGCACCGAGAGCUGACCUUCCUCCGCUGCAAGCGGUUCUUCGGGUGCACCCUCGUCCGCGUGGAGGACAUGGUGCGGAACCCGCUGUCCAUGCUGACGCUGAUCACCUGCCUGGGCACGUACGACUGGUCCCUGGCUCAGAAGUUCCUGCUGCACCUGCUGGUUUUUGGAUUCACGAUUUACAAGUCUGGCUCCGAAAGACAUUUAGAAUACCUUCCCAAGAUCCUCAACAUGGAGAUUUUUGGAUGUUUUGCUCUGACUGAAGUAAGUCACGGGAGUAACGCCAAGGCCAUCAGAACGACCGCUCACUACGACCCCGCCACGGAGGAGUUCAUCCUACAUUCCCCGGACUUCGAGGCCGCCAAAUUCUGGGUCGGCAACAUGGGCAAGACGGCCACCCACGCCGUGGUGUUUGCCCAGCUGUACACGCCCGGGGGCCGCUGCCACGGCCUGCAUUCCUUCUUGGUGCAGAUCCGGAACCCCAAGACCCUUCUUCCCAUGCCGGGGGUGAUGGUUGGCGACAUAGGGAAGAAGCUUGGGCUGAACGGCAUCGACAACGGAUUUGCCAUGUUCCACAAGGUGAGAAUUCCUCGCCGAGCCCUCCUGAACCAGACUGGAGACGUCACCCCCGAGGGUACCUACGUCACCCCCUUUAAGGACGCCAAGCAGCGCUUCGGGGCGUCCCUGAACAACCUCUCCAUAGGUCGGGCCUUCAUCGUGGCCAUGUCCGUCGUGAACUUAAAGCUGGCCGUUUCCAUAGCCCUUCGUUUCUCAGCCACGCGGCGUCAGUUCGGGCCGACAGACGAGGAGGAGGUACCGGUGCUCGAGUAUCAGACGCAGCGGUGGCGCUUACUUCCAUACCUGGCGGCUGUGUAUGCCUUAGACCACUUUUCCAAAUGGCUCUUCCUGAACUUGGCGGAGUUUCAGCAAGGCCUCAUGGGAACGGACUGCAGCACCAGGCAGGCAGAGCUCGGACAUGAGAUCCACGCCUUGGUGUCGGGCAGCAAGCCCCUGGCUUCGUGGACCGCACAGCGGGGAAUUCAGGAAUGCCGGGAGGCGUGCGGAGGACACGGCUAUCUGGCGGUGAACCGCCUGGGCGACCUCAGGAACGAGAACGACCCCAACUGCACGUACGAAGGGGACAACAACGUCCUGCUGCAGCAGACCAGCGGCUACUUGCUCGGCCUGCUGGAGCUCCGCCUCCAGGGUGGCGCUCGCCUUGAGAGCCCUCUGGGGACCGUGGACUUUCUGGAAGCCUAUCCCGACAUCCUCGACCAGAGGUUCUCGUGCCCCAGUGUCACCGGCUGCUUGGAGUCGUCAGUCCCGCUGGCGGCAUACGAGUGGCUGGUCUGUUACCUGCUCCGAGAGAGUGUGCAGAAGGUAAACGAAGAGAAGAGAGCAGGAAGCAGUGACUUUGAAGCAAGAAACAACAGUCAGGUGUACCGCUGCCGUUCCCUGGCCCUGACGUUCCUGGAGCUCACGGUGGUGCGGAGGUUCCACGAGUACGUGCACCAGCCCAGCGUGCCGCCCCCGCUGCGGGCCGUGCUCCAGCGGCUCGGUGCUCUCUACGCCCUGUGGUCCCUGAACCAGCACACGGCCCUGCUCUACCGAGGUGGCUACUUUUCUGGUGAGCAGGCGGGUAAAAUGAUCGAGAACGCCAUCCUGGACCUGUGCGCACAGCUGAAAGACGACGCCGUUGCCCUGGUGGACGUGAUCGCCCCUCCCGACUUUAUCCUGGACUCACCGAUUGGCAGAGCCGACGGCGAGCUCUAUAAAAACCUCUGGACCGCCGUCCUUGAGGAGAGCCAAGUGCUGGAGCGGGCAUCGUGGUGGGCGGAGUUUUCUGCCAGUAAGACCCACGUGGAAAGUCUGAAGUCGAGGCUGUAGGCGCACCGGCACGCUCAGCUGAGUCUGGGUGAGCUCAUCCAGCUGAUGAGGACAUUGACCCCAAAUGCUGGUUCCGGAAGAUACUGGAAAUGGCUGCCGCCUUCUGAACGCUCGUCUGAUGGUCCUGUGCCCGUCCCGUCUCCCGACCUCACCGGGAGGGCUCAGCCCCGGAGCGUGGGCCGGACGAGGCCGCCAGCCGCUCGUUAUUAAGAGGUUCUCUGGUUGGAUGACCUUUUGCAUUCUGAUUCUUCUACAAAGCUCUGCUUCACUGAACGCUUAGUGAUGCCAGCGUGAUGCUUUUCGUUAACUAAUGUGACUUUAUCAGGUGUGUGCUCGUGGCCGGAUGUCGGACUCCCCGAGGACAACGGCUGCAGAGUGGGGUCCUCUCUCAGACGAGGAGCCGGCCCCCUGCGGCUACGUGGGGCCGGUGGGUGGAUACAAAUGGAAACCACACCAGCAUGAAGAAGAACCCGCCAAACCCCAUCAUCGUUUGUGAGAGCCCAUUAACAUCCUGGGAUUGAGGUCUUCCUUGUGGCCACCACGGUGGCUGUUGGGCCCUCUGUUACCGUGGGACGUGUCAUUGAUGUUUGGUGACUGUCACUUUUGAUGUGCUUCUGAUAGCCCGGCCUAAGUCUAGUCACCUUUACCCCGGUCUUUUUUAUCCCGCCGGGACCACCCCUCCCACAAAGUCAGCAUGCACCCAGCACCCAGCACCCAGCUGCACCUGGCACCACGCCAAGGGCAACGGGCGUGCGUCCCGUCCCCAAGCCUCCCUUCCGCGAGACUUGGUGCACGCAGCCGUUUGGACAUUGCCCACGCUCCAUGCGGACUGUGGUCCCGCCAGACGGUGGGCCCUGUCAGAAGACACAGGAGGCCACACGGCUUCAGGCAA